ensembl:misc_RNA
CUGGCAGUCCUGGAGACUGAAAUCCUUCUGGUUACCCACUGAACAGGUGCAGCACAGAUGGUAGCAGGGCAAGCUUUCCUCCAACACCACCUUGCUAAUGAGUUUAUCCUUGCCCUGAAUGGACCACUCUUUGAGGAUACAUUAGCCUUCAUCCGCCUUGGCUUCUCUGCUGCAAAU